rnacentral:rRNA from 1 species
UACGUAGGCAGCAAGCGUUGUUCGGAAUUACUGGGCGUAAAGGGUGCGUAGGCGGCUUUUUAAGUUUGUUGUGAAAUCUCCCGGCUCAACUGGGAGGGUGCGGCGAAUACUGAGAAGCUAGAGUGUGGGAGAGGAAAGUGGAAUUCCUGGUGUAGCGGUGAAAUGCGUAGAUAUCAGGAGGAACACCGGUGGUGUAAACGGCUUUCUGGACCAUAACUGACGCUGAGGCACGAAAGCGUGGGUAGCAAACAGG